UGGCACAUGCCUGUAAUCCCAGCUACUCAGGAGGCUGAGGCAGGAGAAUCGCUUGAACCCGGGAGACAGAGGUUGCGGUGAGCCGAGAUUGCGCCAUUGCACUUCAGCCUGGGCGACAGAGCAAGACUCCAUCUCAAAAAAAAAAAUAAAAAGACUUCAUAUAUGAGUGAGAACAUGUAAUUUUUGUCUUUCUGUGCCUGGCUUCUUUUGCUUACCAUAAUGUCCUCCAGGUUCAUCCAUGUCAGGAUUUUAUUCCUUUUUGUGGCUGAAGAGUUUUCCAUUCGAAUAUGUACCACAUUUCUUUAACCAUUUGUCUGUUGAUGGACGCUUAAGUUGAUUGAUAUUUUGGCUGUUGUGAAUGGUGCUGCAAUAAGUAUGGGACUGCAGAUGCCUCUCUAAUAUACUGGUUUCCUUUCCUUUGAAGAAAUACCCAGUGGUAGGAUUGCUGGAUCAUAUUGAAUACUGUAAUUUUAAAUCCUGCUUGAUUUUAAUUGCAUUAACUAUCAACAUUCCCACUCAACCUUAAAACUUUGCAUCAUUGCGUGAAUUUUAAAACUAUAAACAUCACUGCAUGAACAUAACAUAAUUUAUUAUUGUUAGCUAUUCAAGAUUUUUUCCAUUAUGCAUUUUCUGUUACAAAUAACAGGAUGUUUUUUAAAAUAUAAACCUUUUUUCUGUAAUUAGGUUGAAAAGGAGUAGCAGGCCAGGUGCAGUGGCUCGUGCCUGUAAUCCCAGCACUUUGGGAGGCACAGGCGGGUGGAUCAUCUGAGGUCAGGAGUUCAAGACCAGGCUGGCCAACAUGGCGAAACCCUGUCUUACUAAAAAUACAAAAAUUAGCCAGGCCUGAUGGUGGGCGCCUGUAAUCCUGCCUACUCGGGGGCUGAGGCAGGGAAAAUCGCUUGAACUCAGGAGGUGGAGGUUGCAGUGAGCCGAGAUCGCACCAUUGCAUUCCAGCCUGGGCGACAGAGAGAGACUCCGUCUCAAAAAAAAAAAAAAAAAACAAAAGAAAAGUAAAAAAAGAAAAGGAGAAGCAAAGUUACUGGGUCGAAAUGCAUGAACACAUUCUUGAAGCAUAUUACCAAUUACUACUUUCUAAUCAGAUGUAUUUUUAAUAUUAAGAAAUGGUUACUAAUUUUGUUAGGUGUGAUGAGGGAAUUUUGGUUAUGUUUAAGCAUUUAUUUAUUAGAGAUCAUUUUCUCUUGAAAUAUUAACUGAAGAAUUGAUGUCUGAAAUUUAUUUUAAAAAAGCUCUAGCAAAAAGCGUUGAUGGGGGUAGGAAAUAGGUCAAACAAUAUCAGUGACAAAAUAAAAAUUGUUGGGUGACAGGUGCUUGCAAGUUCAUGAUCCUACUCUCUGCUUUUGGGUAUUUUUGAAAUUAUCCACAAUAAAACAUUAAAAUGGAAGGAAGGAAGGAAGGAAGGCAGGCGGAGGGGAAGGGAAGGGAGGAAAAGGAAGGAGGGAAGAAGGGAGGCAGAAAAGAAAAGGAAAGAAAAAAUGAAAGAUGUAUCUCUUUAGAAUACUACUAGCCAUUUAUGAGAGUAGUUAAUUCACAGUGUCCUUAUCCCUGUUAUUAUCAAGAAAGAAAGAAUGAAAGAGAAAGAAAAGAAAGGAAGAAGACUGCCUAUUAGUUUGAUAAGAGUACAGUCUCUUUGAUCCCUGGUGAGGUGGAAUAACUUUUCAAAGACCCUUUAUCUCUUCAUCACUUGUAAAAUGCUUCCUGGUCAGUACAUUCCUUUCUUCCUAUCUUGUUACAAUCUUUAGUGAAUCUGUUUUAUCCAUAACAUGCCUUCUAAGAUGUCUAUAAAAGAAAGUAUCUACAAAAGAAAGCUUACUACAUCUCAAUGCUUUUUAAUAAAUAAUUUUUUUUUCAGUGACAGGUCAUGUGGAUCAGCUGAUGGUUUUAACACAUGGAAUUUCUACAAAAUGCUUUAGCUGAGGUGAAAACAUUAGUAACAAUACAUAUUUGCUGCACACACCACACAUAUUUCGUCUUCAUAUUCAGAUGAAGAAACAGAGGUUGAGGGAGGUUAAGUACCUGGCUCAAGUCCACAUGUAACAAAGCCAGAAUUUAAAUCCCAGAUUUGAUUCCAACCCUAAAGUUUUAGUCAUUUUUGAAAACUUGCAUGUCACUUUAUUCUAAAUAAAAGUUUUAUUCUAAAACUUUAUUUUUUUAUUUUUAUUUAUUUAUUUUUUGAAACAGAGUUUUCCUCUGUCACCCAGGCUGGAAUGCAAUGGCACGAUCUCGGCUCACUGCAACCUCUGCCUUCCAUGCUCAAGCGAUUCUCUUGCCUCAGCCUCCCAAGUAGCUGGGAUUACAGGUGCAUGCUAAUUUUUUGUAUUUUUAGUAGAGACAGGGUUUCGCCAUGUUGGCCAGGCUGGUCUUGAACUCCUGACCUCAGAUGAUCCACCCACCUCGGCCUCCCAAAGUGAUGGGAUUACAGGCGUGAGACAUUGUGCCCGGCCUAUUCUAAAACUUUAAUAAAAACGGUUGUCUUGCUCCCUAAUGUCCAAGUUUCAUUGAUUAAUAGCCAUCAGUGUGAACAACUACCUGGACCAAGAAGAUCAGCUGGAUUCGGAGAUAUCCUUCGCUAGUUCUUAAUCUGAGAUGUUCAGAAACCUUGGAAAUGUCUGUUUCUGGAGAGACCAUCACUGUCUCUCCCCUAGGUGGACAGAGCAAGAAGGUGAGCCAUGACCUGGAUCUGCUGGAGCAGGAGAGGACAGCGGUAGGGGAGCCCAGGAAGGGAUCAGGCACAGGAGAGAAGGAUGAGUUGAGACCCCAACACGCUGCUUUUGAGGCGCUUGCUGCACCUUCCCACAGGAGGCUGAGGAAACAGCUCUGAGAAAUAGCUACUAAAAUCCUAAGAUUUUGCCUCAGAAAUCUCCUUCGAAUUUGACCCUCCAUUCAGACCCCACUGCAGCAGGCCUCCUCUAUGGCACCCGGGAACGGCCCUUGCAGUCCUCCCCAUUUUAACUCUAGAGGAAUCAUAAAACACAGGUCUGAUUACAUAUUCAUGAUCUCCCUGUAUAACCACCACGUGGGGGGUCCCACAGCGUAAGGCCCUUCCUAGGAGGCAGCAACCCCUCCCUCCAACCCCAUCUCAACCUGCCCUACACGCAUAUUCACCCCUCUCCCACCUCCUGCCUUCCACUUGCUGUUACUUUUUGUAAACAACUUUUUCUCCUGGUUUCCCCCAGUUUCCCCCAGCUGACAGCUUACACAGCCUCCUCUGAAGAAUCCUGCCUUGACAACCCCCUGUCCCUAACAGUUUGCUCGCUCUCUGUGUUCUUAAGUCCCUUUGUUCCUACAUCUUUCAGCGGGGGGCUGUGAGGAGUCCAAGAGUGAACACCCAGUGCCUGCCCUGGCAAACAGUGACUGCUCAAUCAUUGUGAGCUAUAUUUUAUUUUAUUAAAAAAAUUUUUUUUUGAGACAGAGUCUUGCUCCAUCACCAGGCGUGAUCUCAGCUCACUGCAACCUCCACCUCCCAGGUCCAAGCGAUUCUCAUGCCUCAGCCUCCAGAGUAGCUAGGAUUACAGGUGUUAGCACAACUAAGUUCCUCUUCAAAACUUACCUCCCUGUUUAUAAGUUGUAAGGUUAUAAGCUAGCCCUUCUCCCUGCUUUCCCCUUUCUCCACUUUGGCCUUCAAAGUCCUCGUCUCGCUACCUUAUUUAGAAAGAGGUUCAAACUUCCUUCUGUUCUGUAACCAACCCCCUUGCUGUACCCAUACAUAUCCAGGCAUGCCUAGGCAUGCCUUCCCUCCUGCCUAGUUAGUAACAGACGGUCUCUCCUCCCCACUCCUCUUUUAGCAAAUUGCGCGUUUACUCUAUUUGGAGAAUUUUAAGUCUUAGCCAAUCAGGUCAGCUUAGAUUGUGAGGUCCAACUCCAGCCAAUGGGGAAAGGACACAGAAACAACAACUGCGUUAGGGAUAAAAACCCCUUCUCUCCUUUGUUGGGGUACUCUUGUGAUCAUGGCUGAUGCAGGCAGCACCCUUCUGUAGAAGUAGUUGCCUUACUGAGAAAACUUUUUGCCUGAGUGCUGGUUCUUCUUUUCGGCACCGAGCACUUGUUUCUAACAGAGACAUGUGCCACCACGCCCGGUUAAUUUUUCUAUUUUUAGUAGAGACGGGAUUCUGCCCUGUUGGCCAGGCUGGUCUGAAACUCCUGACCUCAAGUGAUUUGCCCACCUCGGCCUCCCAAAGUGCUGGAUUACAGGGUUAGCCACAACGCCCAGCCAUAUUUAAUUUUAAUAUGUAUUAUCUUUAGAAUAAUUUCUUUUUUGAAAAUCUUUUGGAGUGUUUUACUUUCUUUCUUGCCCUUGAAACCUGGCAUAUAGCAGGUGCUCAACAAAUAUUGAAGGAAGGAAUGAGGGUGAGAGAGAGCAGCGGUUUUCCAAGGGCCCGCACAGGAAAGAGACAGAAGGGCUCCAGUUGUCUUCUGUAACUGCCCCCAGCAGCUUCAGGCUCCAGGCAGGGAGCAAGGAAGCUAUCAGUACCUGGCAAUAUCAGAUUCUGUGCUGCGCCCCACCACCAUGAUGUCAACUCUAUGGAUGCUUUUGUCUUUUUUUGGCCUUGGGAGGGACCCCGUGGCAGAGGCUGCAGAGACCAGACUGGGGGCUUGAAGGCUGGGAAGUUCAAGGACAUGGCUCUGGCUUCUGAAGAGGGCUUUUAUGCUGUGUUAUAAUAUGGCAGAGAAAGUCAAAGGGUAAGUGGACUCAAACGAAGAAAGAAAACAUGAAGAGUGUCUUGGCUUUAUAACAACCUACUCUUCUGGGAACGAAUUCAUUCCCAGUCCCUUGAGAGCAAGGGCUCACUCACUUCCUCAAGAACAGCACCAAGCCAUUCAUGAGGGACCUGCCCCCAUGACCCAAACACUUCCCAGUAGGCCCCACCUCUUCAUACUGCCACACUGGGGAUCAAAUUUCAACAUGAGAUUUGGUGCAGAUAAACCAUAUCCAAACCAUAGUGUAUCUCAAGAAUGUUUUGGGGCCUGGAGUGGUGGCUCAUGCCUGUAAUCCCAGCACUUUGGGAGGCUGAUGUGUGACAAUCUCUUGAGCCCAGGAGUUCAAGAGCAGCCUGGGCAACAAAGCAAGACCCUGUAUCUACUUUUAAAAAAUUAAAAAGAAUGUUUUGGCUUUGCAACAUUCCAGAACAUGUCCAUUAAUUUCCAAACAUUAAAGAAUAUAUAUUCCAUUUGUAUAGGAUGCCUAGAGUAGUCAGACUCAUAGAGACAGGAGGAAGAAUGGUGGUUGUGAGGGGUUGGGGAAGGAAGAAAUGGGGAGUUAUUAUUCAGUGGUACAGAGUUUCAGUUUGGGAGGUUAAAAAGUUCUGGAGAUGGAUGGUGAUGAUGAUUGCACUACAGUGUGAAUGUACUUAAUGUCAUAGAUCUCUACACUUAAAAAUAGUUAAAAUGGUAAAUUUUAUGUGUGUAUUUUACUACAACAAAUAUUUAUAUAUAAAACACACAGACACAAACACACAUAAAAAUAAAGUUUCUCUCAGUAUGACAUAAAAUCUGGAAACUACAAAUUAAAAAAUUAAAUUAUACAUUGCGUACAUAAUAAUCAAACUUCCUGCGUGGAAAAAAAACCCAUAAAAUAAAAAGGCAGGCCGAGUGCAGUGCUCAUGCUUGUAAUCCUAACACUUUGGGAGGCUGAUGCCGACAGAUCCCUUGAGUCCAGGAGGUCAAUACCAGCCUGGGCAACCUGGUGAAACCCCAUCUCUACCAAAAGUACAAAAAUUAGCCAGGCAUGGUGGUGUGCUCCUGCAGUCCUAGCUACUUGGGAGACUGAGGUGGGAGAAUCACUUGAACCCAGGAGGUGGAGGCUGCAGUGAGCCGAGAUCAUGCCACAGUACUCCAGCCUGAGUGACAGAGUGAGACCCUGCCAAGAAAAAAAAUAAAUAAAUAAAAGGCAAAGAACAAAGUAGGAAAAUAUUUGCAACAUAAAUAACACAUCUGAGUUCUUUAUACUAUGAAGAAACAGACCCACAAUGCUGGAGAAAAAUGAUUUUUAAUUCAAUCAUUUUUCUCUCAUUUAGCACAUACAUAUUUAACACCUGCGUACCAGGCACAAUUCUAAGUACCGGGAAUAUAGCAAAAAUGAAAAUAAUAAUAAGACAAGGAGAUUCCAUUCUAAUUGGGGAAAAUAACAAUAAAUAAAAUGAGGGAAAUGUGGCAUGUUGGAAGGUUGUAAGUGGAGUGGAGAAAGACAAAGCAGGUAGGAGGAUGUCAGAGUUAUGACACCAGGUUCCUCAGAGCAGGUGGCAUUUGACCAACACCUUGGAGAAGGGGAGCCCUUCGCACGGGGAGGACUGGGACUGAAGGAACAGGAAGGGCAGACCCUGGGGAGGUGCCUGGGAGGCAGUGUCAGGGUGGUUACAAGGUUUCUCAGGACUGUCUAGGUGCAGGUAAGCCCUUACAAAGGCUGCGACUCUUCUUUCGAGUGAGACGGGAGCCACUGCAAAGUAAUGAACAAAGGGUGACAUAACCUGGUUUCAGUUUUAUUGUUUAUUUUUAUUUUUUAUUUUUUUGAGACAGAGUCUCGCUCUUUUCCCCAGGUUGGAGUGCAGUGGUGUGAUCUCGGCUUGCUGCAACCUCUGCCUCCUGGGUUCAAGCAAUUCUCCUGUCUCAGCCUCCCGAGUAGCUGAGAUUACAGGUGCAUGCCACCACACCCAGCUAAUUUGUGUAAUUUUAGUAGAGAUGGGGUUUCACCAUAUUGGCAAGGCUGGUCUUGAACUCCUGACCUCAAGUGAUCCACCUGCCUUGGCCUUCCAAAUUGCCGAGAUUACAGGUGUGAGCCACCAUGCCCAGCCUGGUUUCUGUUUUAGAAGAAUCAUUUUGACCACUGGAUUGAGAAAAGACAGAGGGGACAAAUGGAGAAGCAGGAUAAUCCAGGUGAGAGGUAGGGGUGGCGUGGACCACAGCAAUCACUGUGGAGGUGGAGAAGAUGGAGAAAUGGUUGGAUUUUGAUUGUGUGUGAAGGCAGAGCCUGAGAUUUCUUGACAGAUUGGCUGUGGAGUACAUGAGAGAGACAUUGAUGAUGACUCCAUUUUUUGGCUUGUGCAAACUGGAAAGGUGACCUGCUUUUCACUGAAAUGGAGAAAACGAUAGUCCAAAUGAGUUUGGGGAAGAUCAGUUUGGUUUUGGAAAUAUUAAGUUUGAAAUGCCUCUAGGAUUUGAGGAGGCAGCUGGCUACACAGGGCAGAGUCCAGGAGAGAGGUCAGGGCCUGGAGAUAGAUCCUCAGGAAUUAACAGCAUAUGGAUGGCAUUGAAAAUCAGGAGACUCAGUCCCUUGCCAAGGAGUGGAAGUGGUCCGAGGACUGAGGUCUAGGGCAGGUCAAAGUUGAAAGGUCAGGCAGAUGGAGGGAGCUUUGAGGUGGGACAAAAACCACAGGGGUCUGGUGUUCUGGAGAUCACGUGAAGAAAGGUGACAGGGAGGAGGGAGCAACCUGCGGAUCAGCAGCGUCAGAUGCUGUUGCUGGGCCAGGACUGAGGACUUAGCACUGGAUGUAUUAAUAGCAACAAGGUUAUUAUUGGUGACCCGCAAGGAGCCUGGGGGUGAAAACCUGAAAGAGGUAACCAAGUGCUCUUAACAAUGCUCACAUAAAAUUUGAAAAUGCUCAAUAAAAUACACACAUAAAAUUUCCCAUUUUACCUUUAACUUUUAGGUAAAGACAGGCACUAUUAUCAUCCCGAUUUUAUAGAUGAGAAAAUUGAGGCACAGAAAGGUCAGACGGCUAGUGAAUGGUGGAGCUGGGAUUUGAACCCUAGUAGUCUAUCUCAAGAUUAUAAGGGCUGCUGCAUGCAGUGGCUCACAUCUGCAAUCUCAGUGCUUUGGGAGGCCAAGGCGGGAGGAUUGCUUGAGCCCAGGAGUCCAAGACCAGCCUUGGUAACAUAGUGAGACCUCCAUCUCUACAAAAAAUAAAAAAGCCAGAUUUAGUGGCGUGUGCCUGUAGUCCCAGCUACUUGGGAGGCUGAGGCAGGAGGAUCCCUUGAGUCCUGGAGGUUGAGGCUUCAGUGAGCCAAGAUUGUACUACUGCAUUCUUGCCUGAGAAAUAAAGCAAGACCCCGUCUCUGAAAAGAGAGAGAAAGAGAGAGAUUGUAAACACUAUGAAAAAAAAAAAUGCAAGCCAGGUGCGGCAGCUCAUGCCUGUAAUCCCAGCACUUUGGGAGACUGAGGUGAACAGAUCACUUGAGGUCACGAGUUCGAGACCAGUCUGGCCAAGAUGGUGAAACCACAUCUCUACUAAAAAUACAAAAAUUAGCCAGGUGUGGUGGUGGGCACCUGUAAUCUCAGCUACUAGGGAGGCUGAGGCAGGAGAAUCGCUUGAACCCAGGAGGCAGAGGUUGCGGUGAGCCGAGAUCGUGCCACCACACUCCAGCUUGGGCCACAGAGCAAGACUCUGUCUCAGAAAAAAAAAAACAGGAAAAAAAAAAAAAAUGGAGACCUCUCUGAGACCGAAAUGACAGGAGAAACUCUGGGCAGAAGCCCUUUGGUGGCAAGCACAAGGCCAUCUGAUGAAGAGUGCUGGGUGUGCUCAUGGAACAGGAAGUCCAGUAUAUUGGCUGUGGUGACUGAGAAAGAAUUGAGUUGUGGACUGAGUGAAUAUCUGACUGCCUUGAGCUGUGGUUCUCUCCUGGCGUGAUGACUUCUCCAGGUGGCAGGGCACGCACUGCCACAUUCUAUCCCAGUACAUGACCUUUCUGUUCUCGAGGAUAUUCUUCCUUAGAUUGAGCUCUGCUAGAUUCUCCCCAAUAGCCAUCUUCUCUUCUGUAUUAACAGACACCUAAGAUUUUUGCUGAGCAAUGGCCACUUGGAAUAAAGACUACAUUUCCCAGCUUCCCUUGCAUAAAACACGGCCAUGUGACUAGAUCCCAGCCAAUGGGCCAUAAGCAAAAAUGGUAUAUGCCUCUUCCCAGGCCACGCCCUUCCCCUCCUGCAUCCUGGUGCUUGGACAAGUUAUGAGCCUAGUUGGACCUUGUGGAUAAGGGCCCUACCCUAGGGAUGGUGAAAUGGCAGUGAGAAGGAGGUUGGAUUUUUGAGUGGUACACAGCAGUCUCGUCAGGUCUAGAGUGUCCCGUGGAAUAAAAUAAACCUCCAAUUGUUUAAGCCAAUGUUUCUCAAGCUUACCUGUACAUUAGAAUCACCUGUGGAGCUUAAAAAGUAUAUAUAUAUAUACUGAUUCUUGCCCCUUCUCCUAAAUUUUUGAUUUAAUUGGACUGAGGUAUAGCCUGGCAUUGGAUAAUUUUUUGAGACAGA
rnacentral:lncRNA from 1 species